rnacentral:rRNA from 1 species
AGUGAACGCUGGCGGCAGGCCUAACACAUGCAAGUCGAGCGGCAGCGCGGGGGCAACCCUGGCGGCGAGCGGCGGACGGGUGAGGAAUUCGUCGGAAUCUGCCUUUUUGUGCGGGAGAACGUAGGGAAACUUACGCUAAUACCGCAUACGUCCUACGGGAGCAAGUGGGGGACCGCAAGGACUCACGCAGAAAGAUGAGCCGACGACCGAUUAGCUAGUUGGUGGGGUAAAGGCCCACCAAGGCGACGAUCGGUAGCUGGUCGGAGAGGAUGAUCAGCCACACUGGGACUGAGACACGGCCCAGACUCCUACGGGAGGCAGCAGUGGGGAAUAUUGGACAGUGGGCGCAAGCCUGAUCCAGCCAUGCCGCGUGUGUGAAGAAGGCCUUCGGGUUGUAAAGCACUUUUGUCCGGAAAGAAAUCCCUGGAGCUAAUACCUUCGGGGGAUGACGGUACCGGAAGAAUAAGCACCGGCUAACUUCGUG